AGACUCCUGAGCUAACUGUCUGAGAGGGCAGAGCUGCACUAGUGGGAAGUCCAGAGGCAGCAGCCCCAGGGAGCAUACCUGCUCAGUACAGAUUACCUGAGCCCCUGUUGCUACCGACAGCCAGUCAAGGAAAUAGAGUGCUGCCUCACAGGACCAGUAGGUGCGGCUUUACAGAGAAGCGACAGCCCCACACUCUGCUUCCCUGUGCAUGACAGGUCAUCAAAGUGGAUCCAGGGAGGCGGCUAUGCUAGUGAGCGAACCCUGAAGCUGAGACACACACUGAUAUAGGGUUCGGCUUCCACUCCUUACCUCUCUGGGGAAACAAGAGGAACAGAUAACCCCAAGUCACACCAAACUGGGUAUCCAGACCCGGUGACAGGGGGGUCAAAGGAGACAGCCAUUCCGGGACCCAAGGUUUAGAGGGGCCCCAAUGCUCAGAGGGGCACAAAUACUGGGCAGCAACGCCUCAAUCUGAGCUACAUGCUGGCCAUCCGGCAUUACACAGCUAGCCCCAACAAAAUAAACAAUGAAGCCAGGUAAUCCCUCCACAGUGACCUCCUCCUCAUCGACCCCCAGCAACCUCAUACCUGCGGAGUAUGCGCCAUGGUAGCGAAUUACGGCACUAUCAUUGCUUCAGAAGAUGCAACAAUUUGCCAGCUCUGGCUCUUCAGUCCUACUCCGUGCCUGCUGCUGCAGCUAUGGAAGAGCAAGAGGAGAGACCAUGCUAGCAGCGUCACCUGGCUGGAAGCAGAAUAAUCUGCCUGCUCAGCUGAUUGCAGACACCUUACCCACCCCUAAGGCAGCCGAUUGUGUAGGCCGGCGUAGGUGUUCCGGGAAGCAACGCUGGUUGCCAUGGCAGCCGCGUCACACACCCGACAUCACGUCACUUCCUGGAGACGCCGGAAGUCUUCCGGCGGUUCCCGAUGCUGAUGGCGUCCGGCCCUGCUCACCUCCACGUGUGGGAUGCACCUGGGUGCUAUAAAGCCCUCAUCCAGGCAGCCACCUUGAAGGAAACGUCUCUGAGGAAGCCGCUGACUUGAUUAGAGGCGGAGAAAUGCGUAAGACGUCAUCUACUGUGUCCGGUACCGGCACUCUCCACACGGUUUCUUCACCCUUUACAAGCCCCAAUUUGGACACUUCGGAUAUGGCACCAUUAAUGUGCUGAAGGCACCAGGGAGAUCUCAUUUCUGCCCAUUUGGGAGCCGGUCUAACGAACUAGGUGAUACCUAAAUACCGAUGUGUUUUAUUGCUUCAAACACCUUUGAUUUCAAACUCUGUCUUCAUUCAUUUUUAACUAACAUUGUUUGAAUACAAACAUUGGACUAAGAAACUGAUUAAUCUCAGUGCACUGAAAAAGCUUCUAAACAGCUGACUAUAAUUGCAUGAAGUCCAUAAUCAUUAGGACUAACGAACCAUAUGUGCAUGACUACUAACCAGCUAUCAUAAUUAACAGUUUUAAUUUGUUAUGCUUAUACAUUACUCUAUAUGCGCAUAUACUGUAGCUUGUUUAUUUAAAACUGGC